CAUUUUUUUUAUCAAGUCUUUUUUCUUUAAGGUGUCACUUUGCAAGGUUGCUUGCUGAUGAUAAUGUUAUGCUGCUACAGCUGUGUGGAGGAAAUGAGACUGAUGAAAUUUCUCUGUGUGAAAACCUGUAGAAGUUGACUUCAAAGAGAGAGAUGUCCAUGAAACGUGAAUGCAGCAGAGAUGUUCCCCAGAGAUAUUUCAGCUACCAGGAAUAUGAACUGUUGUGAGCACCUCUCCUCUCAGAUUUGCAUAGAUGGAGAUGCAUUGACUCAAAAGAGAAGGAUUUUGAUAAGCAGAUAUUAGCUUCAGUCAGAGCUGAGUAAAGAGGAAAAAAAAGGUAACAGAGGUAGUGGGUGACCGUGAGGCAACUUCAUAACUGACAUAUCUGACGACUCGUAAAGGUUGCAUCCUGAGGAGAUAAGCCCAUUUCCCAGGUUCCUCUGCAGAGAGACUUUCAGGUCCUCCAUGGAGCGGCCAGAGGCCGGGGCGACGGGGCAGUUGCCCUUCAGAUGGACCUGGAGGCUGCAGAAGUGAAUGUAGCUCUUGUGGCAGUGGAUGCAUUUAUGGGGGCGUUCCCGAGUGUGGAGACGC